AAGCGGGAACAGCUCAAAUUUGAAAUCUGGCCCUCGGGUCCGAGUUGUAAUUUGUAGAGGAUGCUUUUGGUGCGGUGCCUUCCGAGUUCCCUGGAACGGGACGCCUUAGAGGGUGAGAGCCCCGUACGGUUGGACGCCUAGCCUCUGUAAAGCUCCUUCGACGAGUCGAGUAGUUUGGGAAUGCUGCUCUAAAUGGGAGGUAUAUUUCUUCUAAAGCUAAAUACUGGCCAGAGACCGAUAGCGCACAAGUAGAGUGAUCGAAAGAUGAAAAGCACUUUGAAAAGAGGGUUAAAUAGCACGUGAAAUUGUUGAAAGGGAAGCGUUUAUCACCAGACUUUUUCUAGGGGGAUCAUCCGGUGUUCUCACCGGUGCACUUCCCCUAGUUGAGGCCAGCAUCGGUUUUCGGAGGGGGAUAAAAGCUUCGGGAAUGUGACUCCCUCGGGAGUGUUAUAGCCCGUUGCAUAAUACCCUUCUGGGGACCGAGGUUCGCGCAUCUGCAAGGAUGCUGGCAUAAUGGUGAUCAACGACCCGUCUUGAAACCGC
rnacentral:rRNA from 1 species